GGAUUGAUGGCCGAGUGGUCGACGGCGGUGCCCUGCUAAGGCAUUGCAUGAAGGCGUGUGCCGCGUGCCGGGGGUUCGAAUCCCUCUCAAUCCG
rnacentral:tRNA from 1 species